UAUUGGCUGAUGACGGGUGGCUGCAGGCCUAGCGGACACAGCGAACCGCAGCAAUCUUAAAAAUAACAGCGGCCAGACGGCCAAAGAAUGACUUUGUGUACGGAUUUCAAAGCCCGAGAAAACCAAACACAACACCAUCUGACGGGGUUGCCAUCCGUUUAGCGCAUGUCGAGUAUUGGACACAAGACAGAUAUUAGCCUUGAAUUGACAGUCCAUUGAAAUGAACAUUCAAGCAAAUGUAAUUAUGCCAGCCUAAUUAAGACUCUCCAGUUAUCCUAACACGGAAAUCUUUGGAAUAUUGAAUGUAACCAAAAUAGGAGAAGAAAGACACUAUCAGACCAAGGUUCAAGGUUGAACCUUGAACCUUGAACUAUGAGACGCCAGGGAAGAUCACCCAAACUCCACACAGACAGUGACUGGAUCUAGAAUCAAACCCACACCCCUGGCACUCUAAGGUAGCAGAGUUAACCAAAGUUUCAGAAGAACUGGUCCAUGAAAAGCCCACAGUGUGAAGUUCAUUAUUCCCUAUGUGAUUCUUAAGAAGGCAAAGCUACCGCAUGAAUGAAUUAAGUUUUCAGUGAUGUGCUGGUGCUUUAACUAAGGUCUCUCCUGUCAGCUCUUUUAAUCGAAACACUGAGAAACAGACCUCAAGGACAUGACGUGAAGCGAGCAAAGAAGAGCCUGUCCUGGCAGCAUCAGGUGCAAAGCAGAAACCAUCCUAGAUGUGACACUAGUGCAACAAGUGGCUUCUGGAUUUAAAAUGAGUAUACUGGGGAAGGUUGUGAUGGAGUAUGAAUUUUGAUUUUACAUUGUUGUCAUUCACGGUAGGUACUCUUCUUGCAGUAGCUCUUGUUUUUCUGAUCUUCUUUGAGUUACUUCUUAAUGUGUUUUAAAAAUGUUUCUUUUACUAUUGUUAUAAUUUUAUUCAAGAAGUUAUUGAAAGUAAGUAACAUAUUUAAUUGUACAUAGGGCUUAUAAUAGUUUUUAAAAUGCUGUCUGAGUGUCAGGAUCCCUGUUAAAAAAGACCAUGAGGUAAUGAUAUCUAUAUGCUAAAGAAGAGAAGGAAUAAACAUAAUAAUACACCAAAAAUAAAAGUUUCUAAAAUAUACAGGCAAUCUUAACGCAUUGAUUUAGCCUGGGUAUCAGCUCUCUUGAUCUUGCCUUCCUAUAGCAAAGUAUGUGGUUUCUUACUCUAUCAUAGUAUUCUCCUUCUACCUCCAAAUCCCUGGUAGUGUUUCUCUUGCCAGUAUAACCUUAAUAAUAAUAAUAAUAAUAAUAUAAAUUAAUUAAUUACUUACAUGCCCAGAGGG